rnacentral:rRNA from 1 species
CCUACGGGAGGCAGCAGUGAGGAAUAUUGGUCAAUGGCCGGAAGGCUGAACCAGCCAUGCCGCGUGAAGGUCAGUGCCCUAUGGGCGUUAAACUUCUUUUGUUCGGGAGCAAUAAUGGUCACGUCUGGCCCGCCUAUAUUACCGUUCUAAUAAGCAUCGGGUAACCCCGUGCCAACAGCCGCGGUUAUUCGGGGGAUGCAAGCGUUAUUCUGAUUUUUUGGGUUUAAAGGGGGCGUAGGCUGUGAGGUAAGUCAGCGGUGAAAUGCCCCCGGUCAACGGGGUGAAGUGCCAUUGAUACUGCCUGGCUGGAAUGCGGAUGCGGUGGGAGGAAUGUGUGGUGUAGCGGUGAAAUGCAUAGAUAUCAUACAGAACACCGAUUGCGAAGGCAGCUUACCAAACUAUAUCUGACGUUGAGGCACGAAAGCGUGGGUAGCAAACAGGAUUAGAUACCCGAGUAGUC